UACGAAGGGUGCAAGCGUUACUCGGAAUUACUGGGCGUAAAGGGAGCGUAGGCGGACAGUUUAGUCAGAGGUGAAAGCCCAGGGCUCAACCCUGGAAUUGCCUUUGAUACUGAUUGUCUUGAGUAUGGGAGAGGUGAGUGGAACUCCGAGUGUAGAGGUGAAAUUCGUAGAUAUUCGGAAGAACACCGGUGGCGAAGGCGGGUCUCUGGGCAGUAACUGACGCUGAGGAGCGAAAGCGUGGGGGAGCGAACAGG
rnacentral:rRNA from 1 species